GUUCGGUCACUAACUUAGGUAUAGUAUAGUCGGUUACUUUCGACUUUAUUCUUUUUUUGUUUGUUUCUGGAUUGUACUGACUUUUGUACUGAUUGCAGCCAUGCAGUCGAGGGCGCGAGUGUCAAGCGUCGAUAUUCAUCAACACGCUGUGAGGAAGAGGACAGUGUCCGAAGCUGGUCAUUCCCAACCAUCCAAGAAGAGUCGAGCUACUACUUCAACGCCA
rnacentral:lncRNA from 1 species